CUCAUUAUAUUUGGCAUUUGGCAUUAGCUUCAUUUUUUCAUCAUUCAAGAAACAAGCAGCCAUGGAAGCCAAGAGAGGCAUCCAGUGGAGCUCCAUUAUAGUUCCUUCUGUUCAAGAGAUGGUGGAAAAGAACCUGAUCACCACGGUUCCUCCGAGGUACCUACGGUCUGAUCUAGACAAAGCUGAGAUCGACAGUGAUUUAAGAACCGAGAUCCCAAUCAUCGACAUGAACCUUUUGUGUUCUUCAACCUCCAUGGACUCAGAGAUUGACAAGCUCGACUUUGCAUGCAAAGAAUGGGGUUUUUUCCAGCUUAUAAACCAUGGAAUGGACUCAAGUUUCUUGGACAAAGUCAAGUCAGAGGUUCAAGAUUUCUUCAACCUUCCCAUGGAAGAGAAGAGGAAACUUCGGCAACGACCAGGUGAGAUCGAAGGGUUUGGACAAGCUUUUGUGGUUUCAGAGGAGCAGAAACUCGACUGGGGAGACAUGUUCCUCCUCACAAUGCAACCUGUUCAUUUACGCAAGCCUCACUUGUUGCCCAAGUUACCUCCUCCCUUUAGAGAUGCACUAGAGAAGUACUCAGCUGAAGUGAAAAGCAUAGCUAAGAUCUUACUAGCCAAAAUGGCAAGAGCCCUGAAGAUCAAACCUGAUGAAAUGGAGUACUUGUUUGGCGACGACUUAGGACAGAAACUGAGGAUGAAUUACUACCCUCCCUGUCCGGAGCCGGAUCAGGUUUAUGGUCUAACUCCUCAUUCAGAUGCUACAGGACUCACCAUCCUUUUGCAGGUGAAUGAAGUGGAAGGUCUCCAGAUCAAGAAAAAUGGAAAGUGGGUUUCAGUCAAACCUCUCCCAAAUGCGUUUGUUGUGAAUAUUGGAGACAUGUUAGAGAUGAUAACGAAUGGGACAUACAAAAGUAUAGAGCAUCGUGGGGUUGUGAACUCGGAGAAGGAGAGGCUUUCUAUGGCGACGUUUCACAAUACGGGAACGGGUAAAGAGAUUGGUUCGUUGAGAAGUCUCGUUAAAAGGCAAAAGGGUGCAUGUUUCAGAACCGUGACCCCUGAAGAGUAUUUCAAGGGCUUGGCCUCUCGUGAGUUAGAUGGAAAAGCUUUUCUUGAUGUUUGGAGAAUCUAAAGGGGAAACAAUGCUGCCAAAUAAACUCUGUCUUCUCCGACCGAGAAUCUAGGCCUAGUGAUCAACCAAAUACAACUACGGUUCAACAAAUGAUCUCCGAACAUCCCUUCAUCUUUUUGGGUCGCUUCUUUAGGGAUUGAGGUAUAACUCAGCUCAAAAAUGUUCAUGGUAACUGAUGACAAAAGCUUUUUUCUAUCCUGCAGAACAAUCUAGUUUCUUGAAAGUAAAAAUGACCAUCAAGAAUCCAGUGGAGAAAGUGAAACUGUACUUCUAUCUAAUAAUUGGGAUCAUCCAAAUGCCCGAAAGUCUCGUUCCAAUGACUUGAGGCUUCUUCCUGUGUCCGCAUAAUCCAUAUAUGUUUUGCUGCAUCUGCUUUCUCUUGCUCUUCCAUAAUUUUCUGCAAUCGUCAAACCUUAUUUUGGUGCACAACAGAUAUUUCUCAUAUACAUAAACAGUAGAAACUCAACCAAUGUUUUUGUGUGAUUUAGAUAAGGUGCAGAAAAAAACAACUGUCAGAUCAACGAAAGUACAAACCUCGGCUUCAGAAGCACUUUUGGUCUUUAAGGAAAGACAAUCAAAGAGAGCAGAGAACUUCUUAGUACAAUCAUCAAGUUUUCCAACCCGGUAGUACUGCUGCAUCUGGUAAUAUGGUGCUGCAAAGUGAUAAAUAGUCAAUAGAGGCAAGACAGCAUUAUAGCUAAAGAACCAUUGCACAGAUGGAGAAAACAGCGACACAGGUACAAAACAUA